CUUUGAACUGCCUCAGUCAAUAUUUCCAGUCACAAGUUGCUCACAAGAACUGAAAAUGGAGUUUCGAAGCAAGCAGGUUAUCUGUCAGCCGGGGAUGAAAGGGCUGAAGUUUAAUUUCAAGAGGUUCUCAAAGAGACAAGGCAGAAAAGCACUGUUCUUAGCAAAUUAAUCUCUUUGUAUGGGAAAAAUAAGGCUCAAGCUUUCUGGGAUAUGCAGCCAUGUAACCUCCAUCAUGGGAUUUUUGCAGCCAAACACUACAAUAACCAGCACACCCAGCAACAAAAUCCAAUAUCGAGAUGUGAAAAGAUACAACACAGAUGUGACUGGAUUUGAAGAGGCAAAGAGAUUCCUAUCCAGCACAGCUGGAUUCAACCUGCCCUUUUCACGCUUCAGUGGCUUUAAUUUAACUCCAGAUCAUGCAGCUCAAGCAAAAUCUUGUUUAUUUGACAGUAAUGUUCUCAGUAGAUGUCCCCAUAUAACUCAAAGCUGACUACAAAAAUGGCAGAGCUGUAGCUUGCCAGGCUUUCUAUCCUGCUUCCCCAGGACCUUCACACCUGACCCUGCAGACUGCUGGUCCUGGAGAUACUCCAUGCAUGGCCUCUUUGACUCAGCUUCUCAAGAGCAGGAGGGAUGAAAAGCGAAGUUGUGCGUCUCCACGGAUAUUCUCUACUGCAAGAGACAUACUUUCCACCUCUAAAUAUGCCAUGGACACAGUUCUACUGCUUUGAGGGAUCUGAAUAUUAUUCAGACAAAUUCACUGGGAGAGUGUUCAGGAAAAAAGCCACUUUGCAGCCCUGUCUGGAGGAAUUGGAAGGCUGGGGGAUUCUGUGCCUUUGCACAGCUCUAGUUCUAGCACUGGUUGUGUCUGACGGUGGAGCAGGAAGUGGGCAUUUUCACUCUCCAGUCUCUGCUCCUCGUCUGUAGCUCUGCAGGUUCAGGGAAGAGGAAGUCACUGGUUUACACUUCCUUUCAGGUGCAGCCUUUUGUAGCGUGACUCAUUUUGUGCUCAUCUCUGACAUGUAACCUUGCACUUGCCAUCCCCUCUCCUCCUGCAGCCUUUCUGUGCUUGGCUCCUUCUGGACCCCCACGGCUGCACAGGGGAGCCG
ensembl:lncRNA